rnacentral:rRNA from 1 species
CUGCGGAAGGAUCAUUAGUGUAACCGAGCAACGCUGUAAGCUACUUACAGCGGGUCUGUUGCUAGUAUUAGGCUGUUGCUUGCAGCGGUUCUAGUGCUUUCAGCAGGCUGCGAGGGAGAUAUUAUACACCCCAUGUUUUUCUCACUUUUGUUGCUUUGGCGGGCCGUCCAUUUCGGCAUCGGCCCCGGCCGAUUGCGCCCGCCAGAGGACCCCAAACUCUUCCAUUAGUGAUGUCUGAGUACUAUAUAAUAGUUAAAACUUUCAACAACGGAUCUCUUGGUUCUGGCAUCGAUGAAGAACGCAGCGAAAUGCGAUAAGUAAUGUGAAUUGCAGAAUUCAGUGAAUCAUCGAAUCUUUGAACGCACAUUGCGCCCGCUGGUACUCCGGCGGGCAUGCCUGUUCGAGCGUCACUAUAACCAAUCAAGCUCUGCUUGGCGUUGGGGCCCGCUGUACUGGGCGGCUCUUAAAAUCAGUGGCGGCGGCGUCUAGUUCUAAGCGUAGUAACUUCCCUCGCUAUAGGGCUUUAGGCGUCCACCUGCCAGACCUUAAAUUUCUCAAGGUUGACCUCGGAUCAGGUAGGGAUACCCGCUGAACUUAAGCAUA